GCACCCCUUCAGAAAGCCAAUUCUGUUAUAGAAAAAGUUUGCACAUAGACCUACAUAUGUUUAACGAUAUAUGUUCAUACUUAAAUUAAGCGCAUAACGGGUCAAAACAAAUAAAAAAAAGAAUACUUUAAACUUUUAACAAAAAAUGAAUGAUAAGUAUACUCAAGUUCGACAUAAUCAUUGAGCAAGGCACAAAAUAUGCAAAAAAAAUAGAAAACGUAUCUAAAGAAUGUACUUUGUGUAUACAGUCGCGUAUAAAAUAACUCAUUAAUAAAAAUUACUAAAAUUACUCACGCGACUUAAUAGUAAUAAACAUCAAAAGAAAUUUUUAACAAAUACUAUAUUUAAGUUAAUAAAUUAUGUAUUGAACAAAUUGAUGCAAAUUUGCAAACACAAAAGUAUAUAUAAAAAUUUAUUUGCAUUUUUUAUUUAUAUUUAUGAACACACAUGUGCAAACAUACAUGUUUAUUUUUUGAACAGGAAGCAUAUGUAUGUAUCUUUUUUUCUAUUUAAAAAUGCCAGUUUGUCGAUUGUUAAAAAAUACAUAUAAUAUUUUGCCAGUUUAAUAGAACAUCUUGGAAUAUUCCAUACGUAAAUUUAGACGAAAUAACGCUGAGCUCGGGCAGAUAUGCACCUCGCAAUUUAAUGACACUUUUAAUGGCUAUAAAUACCUUAGGCGGAAAAAGAAGUAAAAGGAAAGAUAAUAGUGAUUGAAAACUUAAAUUAACUGUGACUGCAGCUUGAUCUGCAUUGGAUAAAAACGGUAGGAACGUAAUGCCAGAUAACGCAUAUUUUAAUAUCUUUAUUAAAAUAAUAUCCACGCAUAAUCUUGUUGCAAAUUAUAUGAGGAAUUGGUUUGUUGUAAAGAUUCCAAGAGGUGGGCGAUGUUAUGUUAUAAGCUUAAAAUUUCGACCAUAUAAAUAUAUAUUAAAUUUUUUGAACCAUUUUCUCUUCGACAAUGGACACCACCGGAGUGGCCUAAUCCGCAAACUCUACAAUCUCGAGUAUUCCUUGAACACAAAGACGGUCACAUUUUUAUUCAUAUGGCUUGACAUUUGGAAUACGAUGCAAUGACGAACUUACCGGCAGAAACUCGGAGUCAAUUUUAAGGGUGGUCUAGUGUAUCGAUCAAAUUCUUAAAGUUUUCUGUAAUGCUGCUACCUCACUUUACUUGCCGUAUAUUGACUUGCACCAUUUGCAACCUCAUCAAGGUGGUCAUUUAGUUACCUACGAACUCGUCGGGGUGCUUAUCUUGUUGGCAAAAAUGGUAAAAUGUCACAAUCUCCGAUUAUCGGGGUGGUAUAAAUAUUGGAAAAGUCGUUGUCAUAAGUGUGUAGUAACUGAGAAGGAUUAAUUUAAGAAAAAAGAUUGCUUCGAGUAGAAAAAUUUAUAAAUAAAUAUUUGUCCUUAAAAAAAACACACAGACACAUUAUUUUUUAAACACUCCCCUCGAAAGUCAGCCUCGCUCGCGGAAACCAUGGAGAAGCUGACGACAAGGAAAAUAAGUACGUAUAUAGUUCCGGUUAUUUAGUCGCUUUGGAAGAGGAGUGGGACUCAGCCCACAUUCAUCUAAGAAACCAGCUGGAAGCGAUCGCCGAAUGAGAUGUGACCCUGCUAAAUCCAGGAAUGCAAUACACAUUUAACAGAGCUAUCUUUUUCACAGACCCACAAAAUACCAAAGAAUCGGCCGAUUUGUGAAUCGGUAUUAAAUUUGCAGUAUUAAAUUUCACUCCAAUCCUAUUUUUACUUUUGAACCCACUUAAUAUUGAAUUUACUUAAAUAAAAAUAUUUUUAUUUUUUUUUGAUAUUUUUUUCAGCCAAGAGUUACAACAUUUGGUUAGUGUCCAGUGGAUCAAACCGAAAUAGACCCACCGCUAAUUUUAUGUAUCCUUUUUGUUGUACCCUUGCAGAGGGUAUUAAAGUUUUGGUCAAAAGUUUGCAACGCAGUGAAAGAGAUAUCUCCGACCCUUUAAAGUAUAAAGUAUUCUUGAUCUAGAUCACCUCCUGAGUUGAUAUAAGCAUGUCUGUCUGUCUAUUUC